rnacentral:rRNA from 1 species
GACAGAGGGGGCAAGCGUUGCUCGGAAUUACUGGGCGUAAAGGGCUCGUAGGCGGCCAACUAAGUCCGACGUGAAAUCCCCAGGCUUAACCUGGGAACUGCGUCGGAUACUGGAUGGCUUGAAUCCGGGAGAGGGAUGCGGAAUUCCAGGUGUAGCGGUGAAAUGCGUAGAUAUCUGGAGGAACACCGGUGGCGAAGGCGGCAUCCUGGACCGGCAUUGACGCUGAGGAGCGAAAGCCAGGGGAGCAAACGGG